rnacentral:rRNA from 1 species
GUAGGUGGCAAGCGUUGUCCGGAAUUAUUGGGCGUAAAGCGCGCGCAGGUGGUUCUUUAAGUCUGAUGUGAAAGCCCCCGGCUCAACCGGGGAGGGUCAUUGGAAACUGGGGAACUUGAGUGCAGGAGAGGAAAGUGGAAUUCCACGUGUAGCGGUGAAAUGCGUAGAUAUGUGGAGGAACACCAGUGGCGAAGGCGACUUUCUGGCCUGUAACUGACACUGAGGCGCGAAAGCGUGGGGAGCAAACAGGAUUAGAUACCCUGGUAGUCCACGCCGUAAACGAUGAGUGCUAAGUGUUGGGGGGGUUUCCCGCCCCCCCGUCAGUGCUGCAGCUAACGCAUUAAGCACUCCGCCUGGGGAGUACGGUCGCAAGACUG